rnacentral:rRNA from 1 species
AGGACGAACGCUGGCGGCGUGCUUAACACAUGCAAGUCGAACGGUGAAGCCCUUCGGGGUGGAUCAGUGGCGAACGGGUGAGUAACACGUGAGCAAUCUGCCCUUGACUCUGGGAUAACUUCGGGAAACCGGAGCUAAUACCGGAUACGACGCACGGAGGCAUCUCCUGUGUGUGGAAAGAUUUAUCGGUCAGGGAUGAGCUCGCGGCCUAUCAGCUAGUUGGUGAGGUAAUGGCUCACCAAGGCGACGACGGGUAG